rnacentral:rRNA from 1 species
AAUAAUAGAUUUGAAAUAUUUAUUAUAUAGAUUUAAAGGGAUAAUCAUGGAAUACAUAAGUUAUUAAUAGUUAUAGGUUACUAAUAAAAUAUAUAUAUAUAUAUAUAUUUUUAAUACCUAAGGGAAACCUAUUAUAUAUAAAACUAAGUGAACUGAAACAUCUAAGUAACUUAAGGAAAAUAAAUCAACCGAGAUAUCAUAAGUAUUGGUGAGAGAAAAUGAUAUAGUCAUAAAUUAUAUAAAUAAUUUAAAUAAGUAUUAUGUAAGAUAAUAUGUAAGAAUAUAGGACAAACUAGUUCUAAGACUAAAUACUAUUAAUAAACAAAAUAAGUACCGCAAGGGAAAGUAUAUAAAUGGUUAUUCUAUAAGCAGUUAUAAAUAUAAUUAUUAUAUUAAUAACGUACCUUUUGUAUAAUGGGUCAGCAAGUAAUUAAUAUUAGCAAAAUAUAUAUAAAUACAUUAAAUGUAUAUAUAUUAUAAAUAAAUUGAAUAUUUAAUAAUUGUAUUACUCAUUCCUCCUUCUUAGGUAUAAAUACUCACCAGCUUGGCUGGUAGGGGUCUCCUUUUUUAAUAUUUUUAUUAAUUAAAGGAUAGGAAGGGUUUAAGUUAAUAUUAAUUGACCCGAAAGCAAAUGAUCUUAUUAUGACAAGACGGAAAUAUUAUAAUAAUAAUAAAACGGUCGAACAGGUUGAUGUUGCAAAAUCAUCUGAUUAGUUGUGAUAAGUAGUGAAAGACAAAUCUGAUUUGCAGAUAGCUGGUUUUCCACGAAAUAUAUGUAAGUAUAGCCUCUUAAUAAAUAUAAUUAUUAUAUUAAUAAUAUAAUGAACGGUACAGCUAUAAAUAUCCUUCUAUUAAUAUUUUAUUAAUACUUACACAUGUGUAAGUGAAUAAAGUAUAAAUAGAUAUUUGGGGAAUUAUUGUAAUUUUAUCAAAGAUAUUUAAUCUCGAAAUGUUUAAUUAUAUAAUAAGAGAGUCAGACUAUGCGCGAUAAGGUGAAUAGUCUAAAGGGAAACAGCCCAGAUUAAGAUAUAAGGUUCCUAAUUUAAUAAUAAGUGAAAUAAAUAUUAAAAUAUUAUAAUACAAUUAGUUGAUGGGUUUGACAAUAACCAUUCUUUAAUGAACAUGUAACAAUGCACUAAUUUAUAUAAUUAAUAUUUCAAAUCAAAUAUAUAUAUAUUUGUUAAUAAAUAAUAUACGGAUCUUAAAUAUAUUAUAAAUUUUAUAAUAAUAAUUAUUAAACCGAAUAUCUAAAUAUUAUUAUAUAUAAUAAAAUAUAAUAACAUGGUAGUGGAACAUCUAAUGAAAAAAUAUAUUAGUCAUUGAUUAAUAUAUCCAAACAUAUAUAUGAUUGGAAGUAAUUAGAUAGAGAAUGCUGACAUGAGUAACGUAAAAAAGGUAUAAACCUUUUCACCUAAAGCAUAAGGUUUUACUAUAAAAGUACGGCCCUUAAGUUAUAUAUGAAUAUAAAUAUAUAAAUGAUAGGAUAAAUCUAAAUUAAAAUAAUAAAACUUUAUUAUUAAUUUUAAUAAAUAAAAUAAAUAAACUAAUAAAGUUCAAGAAAUAUAUUUAAUGAAUACCGUAAUGUAUACCGACUCAGGUAUGUUAGUAGAGAAUAUGAAGGUGAAUUAGAUAAUUAAAGGGAAGGAACUCGGCAAAAAUAGCUCUAACGUUAGUCAAUAAAGAGAACCCCUUCUAAAUAAAAUAUAGAGGGGGUAUUAAGAACAAAGUUGUCCAACUGUUUACUAAAAACACCGCACUUUGCAGAAACGAUAAGUUAAAGUAUAAGGUGUGAACUCUGCUCCAUGCUUAAUAUAUAAAUUAUAUUAUUUAAAGAUAAUAUAAUUAAAGUUAGGUAAAUAGCAGCCUUAUUUUGAGGGUUCUAAGGUAGCGAAAUUCAUUGUCCACUAAUUAUGGUCCUGCAUGAAUGACGUAAUGAUACAACAACUGUCUCCCCUUUAAGCUAAGUGAAAUUGAAAUCGCAGUGAAGAUGCUGUGUACCUAUAGUGUGACGGAAAGACCCUAUGCAGCUUUACUGUAAUUAGAUAGAUCGAAUUAUUAUAUAUUAUAUUCAGAAUAUUAAGUAAUUGUUUAAAUAAAUAUGAGAUACUUAUUAUGAUAUUUAUAAUAAUUCUAAUCCUAUAUAUAUAAAUUUAAUAGAUAUAUUCUUAAAUUUAUUAUACUUUUACCGCCCACAUCACACAUGUGUGGUGUGGAAGGGUAUUAAUAAGUAUAAUUAAGGAGACAAUCUCUAAUUGGUAGUUUUGAUGGGGCGUCAUUUUCAGCAAAAGUAUCUGAAUAAGUCCAUAUACAUAUUAUAAUCUUAUUUUUUUUUAUAUAAAGUAUAUAUUAUAUAUAUUAAUUGUAAAUUACCCUUAUGUAUUUUUAUAUAAGUACAUAAGGGUACUAAUAGAAUAAACUAUGUACAGUAAAAUUGUCUGGAAAACAAUAAUAAAAUUAAUUUAUUAUAAAUUAAUUUAUAAUAAAAUGUAUUAAAUUAAUAUAAUGGUUUAACUGUGCAACAAUUGUAACACAAACAAGUGAAACAAGUACGUAAGUAUGGCAUAAUGAACAAAUAACACUGAUUGUAAUGGUUAUUGAUAACGAAUAAAAGUUACGCUAGGGAUAAAUAUUUGUCCCAUUAUAUUGAAAAAUAUAAUUAUCCCCCCCCCCCCUAAAAGGUAAGGGGGAGUAAAUUGGGCGAAUUGCAAGAAUAUCCUAAUAUUAUGAAUUUAAUAUGGACAAUUUGCAGCGAAGCUUAUAACAAUCUUCAUAUAUAUAUAUAUAUGGUUAUAAGAACGUUCAACGACUAGAUAAUGAGUAAGAUUAACAAUAAUUUAUCCACGAGUGCCCAAUAUCAAAUAUAAAAAUAUUUGAUAAUGACAUAGUCUGAACAAUAUAGUAAUAUAUUGAAGUAAUAAUUAAAAAAAUUACGAUAACAUAAUUGAACAGGGUAAUAUAGCGAAAGAGUAGAUAUUGUAAGCUAUGUUUGCCACCUCGAUGUCGACUCUACCUAUCCUCUUGGUUGUAAGUGCUAAGAAGGGUUUGACUGUUCGUCAAUUAAAAGGUAACGUGAGUUGGGUUAAAUACGAUGUAAAUCAGUAUGGUUCCUAUCUACUAUAGGUAAUAUUAUCAAAUUAAGUCUCAUUCUUAGUACGCAAGGAUCAGAAUGAAUUAACCUAUGGUGCAUCUAUUGAUUAUUAUAUAAUAUAUAUUUUUAACAUAUAUAUAUUAUCUAUAUUAGUUUAUAUUUUAAUAAUAGUCAUAGUAGAUAAGCUAAGUUAAUAAAGAAUAAGUAUUGAAUGCAUAUCAAAUACGAAGUUGUCUUAAUAUGAGAUAAUUAACUGAUUAUUUUAUACUAAAAUAUAUAUAGGUUUUAUUUUUAUUU